rnacentral:rRNA from 1 species
CCACACCUUCAAAUCUUUCCACGUGAACCGUUGUGAUUGCCCUGGUUGGGCAUGACGUGGGGCUUCCCUGCGUGUGUGCGUGCGUGCGUGUUUGCGCGUGCAUGCGUGCGUGCGGGUUGAGGCUCCGUCUGGGUGUUGUCGUGCUGUGCGAUGCGUUGUAGCGUUGUGCGGCGUGGCGUUGCCUGGCGCGUUUUCUUUUGAACCCUUUGCGAAAUGACUGAGUAUACUGUGGGGACGAAAGUCUCUGCUUUGAACUAGAUAGCAACUUUCAGCAGUGGAUGUCUAGGCUCGCACAUCGAUGAAGGACGCUGCGAACUGCGAUACGUAAUGCGAAUUGCAGGAUUCAGUGAGUCAUCGAAAUUUUGAACGCAUAUUGCACUUCCGGGUUAUGCCUGGGAGUAUGUCUGUAUCAGUGUCCGUAAAGCACUGUUGCCUCUCUUCCUUCCGUGUAGUCGGUGGCGGGGACGGCAGACGUGAAGCGUCUUGCUGCAGCUGUUUUGUGUGUUGCGGCAAGUCCUUUGAAAACUGUGUUCUCUCUCUGUUUGUCGAAAGCGAGCUGGAAGUGUGCGUUGUGUGCGUGCGUGCGUGCGCGGCGCUGCUGGGCGAGUGUUCCUGCGAGGGCGUUUUGGAGAGGGCUUGUUGAUUCGCGGUAUGUUAGGUUUCGGCCGGACAAGGCGCUUAUCGGCGGGCUGUUCUCUGUUCUUGCGGUUGAGUGUUCGUUUUGGCGGCGUGUGCGUGUGUGUGCUGUGUGCGGAGCGUUGCGCUUUUGGCGAUUUGAAUCGCGAGUAGUGCGUUUGCGGAGGCUGCGUUGUGUGCGUAUGCAUGCGUGCGGUGUUUGCGAGCGAGGAGGGUGAGUGAAUUUGGGAAGUUGUGUGCUGUUGCGCGAUGUUGUUGUCGCGCUUGUGGCGCAUCUCAA